rnacentral:rRNA from 1 species
AUUGAACGCUGGCGGCAGGCUUAACACAUGCAAGUCGAGCGGAGAUGAGGUGCUUGCACCUUAUCUUAGCGGCGGACGGGUGAGUAAUGCUUAGGAAUCUGCCUAUUAGUGGGGGACAACAUUCCGAAAGGAAUGCUAAUACCGCAUACGUCCUACGGGAGAAAGCAGGGGAUCUUCGGACCUUGCGCUAAUAGAUGAGCCUAAGUCAGAUUAGCUAGUUGGUGGGGUAAAGGCCUACCAAGGCGACGAUCUGUAGCGGGUCUGAGAGGAUGAUCCGCCACACUGGGACUGAGACACGGCCCAGACUCCUACGGGAGGCAGCAGUGGGGAAUAUUGGACAAUGGGGGGAACCCUGAUCCAGCCAUGCCGCGUGUGUGAAGAAGGCCUUAUGGUUGUAAAGCACUUUAAGCGAGGAGGAGGCUACUGAGACUAAUACUCUUGGAUAGUGGACGUUACUCGCAGAAUAAGCACCGGCUAACUCUGUGCCAGCCGCCGCAGUAAGAC